rnacentral:lncRNA from 12 species
AGUAAAUCAGUGUCGUCAACUGACAGUCAGGCAGCGGAGGAUCGUCAGGGUCCGUCAGGGGUGUAUCCCUCACAGGCCAGCAGCGAUGCCAAACGGAGACGGUGUGAUGAAAAAGACGUCCUCCCGUCUCACUACGACAGUGACGGAGACAAGAGCGAGGACAAUCUUGUAGUAGAUGUCUCAAAUGAGGAGCCAUCCUCUCCCGUAGGCAGUGUCCCUCUGUCUCCACAUGGGAAUGGUUUGGAUCGAGCCCCGACCCUGAGGAAAGAGCUCCCAGGAUCCCCCAGUCCCCCUCCGUCCUCCCCACCACACAGUCCACCCCCUGCCAAAAACAAGGACAUGGCACAAGUACUUUUCCCAGACACCUAAUAUUCCAGAAUUACAUAUUGCCAAGCAUAUUGCUUAACAUGUUUAAUUUUAAAUGGUUGACUGUCUAAAUCAGACUAUCAUACUAAAUAUUAUAUGAACUGGUUUAAUUUCUGCUUAUUUUAAAUAAGUGGAGUUUCACAGUUGUUUUGUAAUGGUGUUACUAAAAUAAUUUGAUUUGUGUGUUUUUUGUUAUUUUAUAAAUAUCAAAAUUAAAAAAAUAAUAAUAAUAAUGGUACAAUUAUUUUAAAGUAGAUUUGGAGAUUUAGCCAAAGUAAGGUCUAGUUUGGGACACAGUGUUGGUUUGUAGUUAAUGAUAAACUUUUAAUAACACCUAUUUUUAAUAUAAUACACUGAAUAUCAAUAAAAAAAAAAAAAUCAAAAUUCUGGUAUUUUUUAAUUAAAUUAGGUUAUAUGUGCUAGUCAGAUCAAAAUGCUGGUUUGUAGUUAUUGUUAAACUUAUUUUAUAUAAAUAAAAUUUUAAAUGUUUAUUAUUAUUAAUAUUAUUAAUAUUAUUCAUAUUGUUAUUAAUAAUAUAAAUGUAUAAUAAAAAUAAUACAUUUUUAAUUAAUUUUAAUUAAUUUUUUUUGUAGGUUUUUUUUAUAAUAAUAAUAAUUGUAUUGUUUAUUAUUAUUUAAUCUAUUUUGAUAAUAGUAAUACAUAUAAUAUCAGUUUAACAAUUUGUCAAAAUUCUGAAAUUGUUGUAGAAUUUUAUUUAAUGUAUUUCGUUGAUGUAUGAGGUGGGGCAGACCAAAAUGCAUAUUAGUGUUGCUAUAUAUCAUUCAACAUUAUAACAAAUAAUAGCAUCUGUCUCUUGGUUCUGUUGGUAGACAGAAAAAUCUCAGUCGCCCUCCUCUAAAUCAGGCAGUUCUUNCAAAAUGAAAAAAAAAAAAAAAUUAUAAUGGUACAGUUAUUUUAAAGUAGAUUUGCAGAUUUAGCCAAAGUAAGGUCUAGUUUGGGACACAGUGUUGGUUUGUAGUUAAUGAUAAACUUUUAAUAGCACCUAUUUUUAAUAUAAUACACUGAAUAUCGAUUAAAAAAAUUAUCAAAAUUCUGGUAUUUUUUUAAUUAAGUUAUAUGUACUAGCCAGAUCAAAAUGCUGGUUUAUAGUUAUUGUUAAACUUAUUUUCUAUAAAUUAAAUUUUAAAUGUUAUUAUUG